UACAGAGGGGGCAAGCGUUAUUCGGAAUUAUUGGGCGUAAAGGGCGCGUAGGCGGCUUGGCAAGUGGAUGGUGAAAUCCCUCGGCUUAACUGAGGAACUGCCGUCCAAACUGCUUUGCUUGAGACCGGGAGAGGUGAGUGGAAUUCCCAGUGUAGCGGUGAAAUGCGUAGAUAUUGGGAGGAACACCAGUGGCGAAGGCGGCUCACUGGACCGGUACUGACGCUGAUGCGCGAAAGCGUGGGGAGCAAACGGG
rnacentral:rRNA from 1 species